rnacentral:rRNA from 1 species
CAGCCGCCACGGGAAUACGGAGGGUGCAAGCGUUAUCCGGAUUUAUUGGGUUUAAAGGGUCCGUAGGCGGACUUAUAAGUCAGUGGUGAAAGCCUUUCGCUUAACGAUAGAACUGCCAUUGAUACUGUAAGUCUUGAGUAUAUUUGAGGUAGCUGGAAUAAGUAGUGUAGCGGUGAAAUGCAUAGAUAUUACUUAGAACACCAAUUGCGAAGGCAGGUUACCAAGAUAUAACUGACGCUGAGGGACGAAAGCGUGGGUAGCGAACAGGAUUAGAUACCCCUGUAGUCCCUGUCUCUUAUAC